UCGCCGCUGCCCGGGUCGCCGCGGCGUGGGCAGGGGCGGGGCGCGCCCGGGCUGGGAGCUAAGGCGUCGUGUCCGGUCCCACCGGCCGCGUCUCACUGCGCCCCUGAAUCCUCACAGAAGAAGGGAGUGAUGAUGAGGGGAAUGUCGAGUUGAGGGCCUGUGUUUCGUUUCCUCAAUGUGGAGAGGCAUGGAAGACGCUCGCUGCACCUGCUCCAAAAAUAAGCACGUGACCCUAAACUGUGUUCGGGCCCUGUGGCAGUCAUAAGACUGGGUGUUUCAGCGCCAGUGAAAGCAGGCGGCAGUGAUAGCAGGAGGGGCUUGGCAAAAGAUCGAGGAGGGGAAGGGAGAGAUGUCAGCAUCUUCUCUGCCUCCUGCAUCAUCACUGACUUGGGGAAAUAGACCCGGAGUACAGAGUGGGGGCAGAGUUGCAGGUGUCACUGUGCACCCAGCCCCCAGGAGCUUUGUGAUUGGUCCCAGCGGGCCAAUCCGGAAGGGGGAGGAAACUCCGCGAGUACCAUCGUGGUACAGUAUUUGCUUACGUGCUGAAAUUGGACUUGAGCCUGGGUGGGGCUACGCCUUUGUCACAGGAAAUAAGUGACCAUGGUGCUCGAUAGUUUGGAUAAGAUGAUUCAACUGCAGAAAAGCACUGCAGACAUCAGGAAUAUCUGUGUUUUGGCUCAUGUUGACCACGUUGAAGUACGUGGACAGCAGAGAUGAUGAACAGAUCCGAGGGAGCACUAUGAAAUCCAGUGCCAUUUCACUACAUUGUGCAAAAGGUGAUCUGUUGUCAGACCAGAGUCAGGCUGUCCAGACGUGGGUACAGAUGGGGACCUCUGACUGGCUUGAGGGCAGAAGAACUGGCACUUCACACCUGCCCCUAUCCACCCAAGGAAUUGCAUAGAUCUCUUCACAGCGAAGUGUUUGGAAAUAUUACACAACAUGUGAAUUUUUAAAACUAGAAGAAAAUAAUAAAGAUAUAAUUCAUUUCCCUAAUGGACUGACCUGUGUUUAUCCUUCACAGUGUCACAUCUCUGGCACUGCCAUCAAGGGUGGUACUUUGUGGGGCGUGACUCUUCUCUUUGAGGUGAUGAGGAGUACCUGAUUAAUCUGACAGACUCUCCAGGACCCGUGGAUUUCUCCUCAGAAAUAUUGACAGCUGUUCUCAUUUGUGAAGGGUGCAUCAUUGUAGUGGAUGCUGUGGAAGGGGUCUGUCCGCCGGUAGUGGAUUGUAACGUGGAAAUAUGUAACAGGUUAAAGAAGGCAUACCUUGGAGAUAUUGCGGGUUUGGUUCUGAGCCACUGCAGUACAGUGAAUAUUGCAGGAAGACACAGGCAGUUCUGUGACAAGCCUGGCUUGAAAACAUCCGUCCAGUUUUAGUGAUUAAUAAGAUAGAUCACUUGAUAGUGGAACUGAAAUUCACCCCACAGGAGGCCUAGUCUCACCUCAAGAAUAUUUUAGGACAGUUUAAUGCACUCACAGGAACUCUUUUUACUUCAAAAGUGCUAGAGGAAAGAGCAGAGAGAGAGAAAUUGAACCCCAAGCGAAUCCAGAUUCUGAACAAGGAGAGCAAGCAUAUGACUGGAGCACUGGCCUGGAGGACACAGAUGAUUCUCACCUUUACUUCUCUCCAGACCAGGCGGCGGCCACAUGGCCUUUGAUUUCUCUUGGUCUGAAACUAUUUGCUUGCUUUGGAGUCUGUGAAGUCUUAAAACGUUCUGAGACAACACUGAGAUCGUGGUUACAAAUUAUCGAAGCCAAUUAUCAUGCUCCUAACGCCUACCACAACUCUACACAUGCUGCCGAUGUGCUUCGCGCCACUGCCUGUUUUCUCUGCCAAGAGAGGAUAAAGGAAACUGAUAAAGAUCAAGAAGCCAUAAACACUAUGCUCAGGACUCCAGAGAACUGCACUCUGGUCAAACGAAUGCUGAUUAAGUGUGCUGAUGUGUCCAAUCCCUGCCGACUCCUGGAGCAGUGCAUUGAGCAGGUCGCACGUAUCUCAGAAAACUAUUUCUCUCAGGUAAGAUGCAGCUUCUUAAGUUCCUUAAGCAAAAGAGAGAAACACCAUAAAGACCAUAAGAAGUAAUGGGCUUGAAACUAGGAAGUAGAAUUCUAAAUGAAAUUCUGUCCUUGAAGACCAUUGCUUGUAUUAUAGGCUUCUUGGUAAUAAUUCUAUUAGUUUUUUUCUUAUCUGAAAAUGUGUUUUAUUUUGCCAUCAUCCUUGCAGAAUAUUUUCACUGGAUAUUUGACAUUUUCUCCUAAUAGUGCUUUAAAGAUGUUAAUUAUACUAUUGUCUGCCCUUCGUAGUCUCUCUGGGUAGAAAAAAUUCUUGUGAGGCAGAAAAAAAAUUAGAAGACAUAAUGGCUAAGAUUUUUCCAAAUUUAGUGAAACAUACAUACAUACAGCUUUCAGAAACCCAGCAAAUCCUAACCCAUGCCCAGGCACAUCAUAGUCCAUCAGCUACAAGCUAAAGAUACAGAAAAAAUUUUGAAAUCACCCAGAGAAGAAUGACACAUUACUUAUAAAGAGAACAGUGAUUCUCAUCUUUUAUAACUUCAUGUCAGAAACUAUGAAGGCCAGAAGACACUGUGGAACAACAUCUUUAAAAUGCUGUUACGAGGAAACUGUCACCCUAGAAUUCUGUAUCCAAUGACAAUAUCCUUCAAGAAUGAAGGCAAAAUAAACACAUUGUCAGAUAAGGAAAAGCUAACAAUUCAUCACCAGUAAACCUGCAAUACAAGAAAUGCAGAAGGAAGUUCUUAAGGCUGAAAGGAAGUGAUACUAGAUAUAGACUGGAAUCCUUAGGAGGGAAUGAAAAGCACCAAAAAAUGGUAACUAGCAAACCCACAAUGAGAUAUCACCUCAUAUCUGUUAGAAUGGCUAUUAUCAAAAAGAUAAGAAAUAGCAAGUGUUGUCAAGGAUGUGGAGAAAAGAAAGCCCUUGUGCACUGUUGGUGGGAAUGUAAAUUUGUGCAGCCAAUAAGGAGGUUCCUCAAAAAAAAAAAAUAGAACUACCCUAUGAUCCAGCAAUUCUACUUUUUGGUAUUUAUCCAAAGAAAACAAAAGCACUAACCCCAAAAGAUAUACGCACCACCAUGUUCAUUGCAGCAUUAUUUACAAUAGCCAAGUUGGAAAAAACCUAAAUAUCCAUUGAUAGGUCAGUGGGUAAGAAAAUGUGGGUAUGUGUGUACAUGUGUUUGUAUGUGUGUGUGUGUGUGUGUGUGUGUGUAUACAACACACACACAAUGGAAUAUUAUUUAGCCAUUAAAGAAGAAUGAGCUCUUGCCAUUUUGGACAACAUGGAUGGACCUUAAGAAGUUAGAGAACUAGGUUAGAGAAAGACAAAUACCAUAUGAUCUUACGCAUAUGUGGAAUCUUACAGUGAACAGAUUGGUGGUUGCCAGAUGAGUGGGUAAGGGUGCAAAAUUGGUGAAGGGAGUCAAAAGGUACAAACUCCUAGUUAUAAAAUAAAUACAUCAUGGGGUUGUAAUGUACAACAUGGCUAAGGUAGUUAAUACAGUACUACAUAGUUGAAAGUUGCUAAGAGAGUAGAUGUUAAAAGUUGUAAUUACAAGAAAAACAUUCUGUAAUUAUAUAUGAUGACAGAUGUUAAGUAGAUUUAUUGAGGUGAUCAUUUUGCAGUAUAUGCAAAUAUUGAGUCAUUAUGUUGUACACCUGAAACUAAUAGUGUUGUAUGUCAAUUAUAACUCAGUAAAAAUAAAAAGACAAAACACUUUAAAAAAUGGUAAAUAACUGGGUAACCAUAAAAGAUUUUUUCCUCCUCGUAAUUUCUCUAAAUACAUAGAACUAUUUUAAGCACAAGGUAUAACAUUGCAUUGUAGAGGAUAUUAUAUAUGUAGGUAUAAACUAUGUGACAACUAUAACAUAAAGGAUGGGCUAAAGUAAAAUGCACUUCCAUGAAUCCAGGGUUUCUACGUGUUACAUGAAGUGUUAUAAUAUUAGCUCAGUAGACUGAAAAGUGAAGGGUAUAUUUAGUAAUCCCUAGAGCAAUCAGUGUCGCUUAAAAGCUAAUAGAUUACAAUGGAAUUCUAAAAUUUAUUAAAUGAU